AGAGACUCGGAGUGGGGCAUGGGGGGGAAUAGAAGCAGGCAGAGUCUAAACUAGUGAAGAGGUAGCAUGCCCAGAAUUUGGUGAUUAAUUAGGUGAAAGGAUAAAAGAGAAUAAAAGUCAAGUGAAGAGUGAUCAGGUUUCCAGCUUGGACAACUGGAGAGAAGCCAAAGCAAUGGGCAGCUUCCCUCUCCGCUCUUCAUGUACCUACUAUGCUUCAAGAGGUGUCAACCCUUCACCUAUGGUGAUCUACAGUCUGACACACCCACUUGCCUGUGGCUGGAAGGCUGUGAUGUUGGGUGAGGGUGAAGGAGAAGUAGACAGGCAUCCUCUCUAGAGAUGAACGAGGAAAUGGAGGGAAUGGCUGCUGGAGACAAGAGAGCAGAUUGGAAGCCUAGAGCCUGGGAGCACAGCCCUGUGGAAGGCCAACGAUGCUCAGUGAAGAGUGACAACAGGCAGGUGGCAGAGGGAAUCGAGCCGUACGCAUGUCUCUGCCAGCUCCUGGGUUGGCAUGCCAUUGCAGACUGGCAAAGUGGAGCUGUGAAGACGUACCUGGCACAUGGCUAUGCUCAGAAAAUGUCAGGU